GGGGGUUGUUUACCCUGUGAGGCCCCAGAAGGCAGCUCUGGAAACCUGGAUUCAGCCCCCACAGGAACUCUGAAGCGCUCCGCCUGCAGGGCCUGUUGGCUCCGGGGGGCG
rnacentral:pre_miRNA from 1 species